rnacentral:rRNA from 1 species
UACGUAGGUGGCAAGCGUUGUCCGGAAUUACUGGGUGUAAAGGGGGCGCAGGCGGGAAGCCAAGUCGGCUGUGAAAACUACGGGCUUAACUUGUAGACUGCAGUUGAAACUGGUUUUCUUGAGUGAAGUAGAGGUUGGCGGAAUUCCGAGUGUAGCGGUGAAAUGCGUAGAUAUUCGGAGGAACACCGGUGGCGAAGGCGGCCAACUGGGCUUUAACUGACGCUGAGGCUCGAAAGUGUGGGGAGCAAACAGG